rnacentral:misc_RNA from 1 species
AUAAUAUUGUAAAAAAGGGGGAAGCAUUAUUUAAUUGGGGCAAUGGAAUAAAAACUGAAUUGAUGAGAUUAUCAAGCUAAGCAAGCUGAAGAUGAGUUAAAGAGUUGCAGCAGAGCUGUCAGUUGAAUCAAGUUUAAAUUGGUUGCUGUAAUUUAUUCUAGUUAGCUAAUUUCAGAAUUAGUUAAGUAGUUUCAGGUUUCAGCUUUGUUAGUUAGAUGACAGCUGACACUUUUAGUUGUAAUUGUUCCACCUACUUUCCCUUUGUUUCUUGCAUAUAAGCUGAGAACAAAGUUAUUGAUCUAAUGAGAAUCAUGGUUUUCUCUCCCAAACCACUUUAAUGCCUCUUAUUCAAAACUAGGCAUACAAAUUAACUAGAUAUAAGAUAGACGAUAGAAUGUGGGUUCCAAAAUGACUUUUCUUCAAUAACAACGCAGGCAUAUCAGAUAGAUUUAAAAUAAAACAGUAGGUACAUAGAUAAACGCAAUAAAUGAAAUCAAAAUAAGCUCAAAAGAAAUUUCUGAUUCAAAAGGAGCCAAUUAACAAUAGCUAUACAGCAAACCCAAUUGAUCGAUGCACGAAUGUUUAUUAAGUUCUAAAAAUAUCUUAUUCCUCCCAAAAAAACAGUAGCAAGGGAAGAUUCAAAACAGUUGUCUAUUUUGGAGCUUAUCGGCAACCAAAUAGAUAAGGAAAAAAAAAA